rnacentral:rRNA from 1 species
GAUGAACGCUGGCGGCGUGCCUAAUACAUGCAAGUCGAGCGAACAGACGAGGAGCUUGCUCCUCUGACGUUAGCGGCGGACGGGUGAGUAACACGUGGAUAACCUACCUAUAAGACUGGGAUAACUUCGGGAAACCGGAGCUAAUACCGGAUAAUAUAUUGAACCGCAUGGUUCAAUAGUGAAAGACGGUUUUGCUGUCACUUAUAGAUGGAUCCGCGCCGCAUUAGCUAGUUGGUAAGGUAACAGCUUACCAAGGCAACGAUGCGUAGCCGACCUGAGAGGGUGAUCGGCCACACUGGAACUGAGACACGGUCCAGACUCCUACGGGAGGCAGCAGUAGGGAAUCUUCCGCAAUGGGCGAAAGCCUGACGGAGCAACGCUGCGUGAGUGAUGAAGGUCUUCGGAUCGUAAAACUCUGUUAUUAGGGAAGAACAAAUGUGUAAGUAACUAUGCACGUCUUGACGGUACCUAAUCAGAAAGCCACGGCUAACUACGUG